ACAAUAGAAAGGGCCAGGAGGUGCUGAGGCGAGGAGAGGCCGAACUCCAAGGGACGACGCUCGCGGAAGCAGAGGUUUGGGAUUCUCACUCUGUUGCCCUCAUCUGUCCGGUGCUGCGUUUCUCAUAGGUCCUGUGCUCGGUAGUCUUGCAUGUUCAUCUUUGACUAGAAGCAGCUCUCCUGGGUCGUGUACCCACUAAUAAUGUGGGUGGAACCACCUAGACUCCCUCCCGCUCUAUCUGAGCAAUGGUUGGAUCUUCUCUUUUAGAACCUGAGCUUGAGGUCUGGCCUCAGGAAGUGGGGAGGGUACAGAAGCAGUAGGAAUGUGCCAUCUCUUCUUACCAGUCCCACAUUUUCCCAUCAGUCCACCCAAUUACCUGUUCCUGUGCUGUAUCUGACCCCCCUGGCAGGGCUUCCCUUGAAUUUCCAGCCUUCACCCCCACUUCAAGGCAAGACCCUCUGUGGGUCAGUGUGAUUUCCCCUGACUUGUAGUCUUUCUUUGGGCAGGUUCACAUGUACUUUUGGUUAAUAUCUUUCAAGAGAUCUAAGUGGCUCCUAAGACAUACUUAUCCCUCUCUUCUUCAGCCUGUCCUCAGAAGGUCACCCUUUCUCAUUAGAAAGCUGGGACAGUGAAAAAAACAAAGAGGGAACCCUCUGCCAAGUCCCACCCUUGCUGCCAGUCCUCACCCCUCCAAAUCAAGCCUGGCCAGGCCUUCAGGACACGCCAGGUCAUUUCCCUCACAUUACGGGAGAUGUACAGACUCUCAAUGAUCUCUUUCAGUUUGUCUACACUUAAUCAUAUGUAGCAGAUCUCAGAGUUCUAGCAUGGAAUUUGGCCACUCUCUUGUUUCAAUAAGUUGUCUUUAUAUAUUGAGCUAUUUUUUGCUUUUUUCCUAGAGUGCCAAGGAGUUAUUAUGCAAAUGAGUACUUACUCCACUUCUUUCCAAGAAGUUCUUCAACUGCUAUAUAUUUUAAAUAGUGAGAAGAUAAAGGUAAAAUAUGUCAGAAGGUUAAGAGGAACAUAUUUUUUAAAAUUAGAAAGUUAGGACUAGAAAAGAUAAAAGAAAUGAGUAAAUAGAUUAAAAUUAACAGUGAGGAGACAAAAUCUGAACAGUUUUAGAAGUCAGAGAAUUUGAUGAAAGUGCAAAAAAAGAACUCUAAGAGUAACGAUGCCAAAAAGAUAAAAUUAAAUGAGAGAAAAGGUUUAAAAAGGCUAGCCUUUCAAAUUUUUAAUAAAAUCUUAAAGUUUAAAGGGCUAGAAAAGAACAUGGUAAGAUAAUUAAAUCAUCUUAGUAUUUAAAGAUUAAAAAGCUAAAAAGAAUGUAAACAAUGUAUUCUGUAAUAUUCCAAAUUAAGGAUGCAUGUAUAUUUACUGAUGUAGAAAGAUGUGUAAGACCUCUAGUUUAGAAAGAAAAGCAAGUCACAGAACAUUGUAUAGUCCAAGCGUAUAUAUUGCAUAAAGGUUUGCAGAUAGAGAAAAGAAUGGUAGGAAGCCAAACUACUGAAGUGGUAGGGAGCUACUGAAGAGGAAAGGGAGUGGGGUGGGGGGUGUCAUGGACAUCGUCAGCCAGUCCCCUUAGGUGCCCUCAGGUCCCUUUACCGUUUCUGUGCUCUUUUUCCCAUCCUGAGUGCCAUGCACCGCCAGCCCUCACAAUGGUAACUCGCAGGUGAACUGCCUUUGCACCCUUGCACCCCACAUGUGUAGACAGCUUGAAGGAUUCACUUGGGCCUUUACAUCACCCCAUCCUCACUCCCACCCUGUGGCCCUCAGCCAGUAACUGAGGCUGCAGGAAAUGGAAGCCUCGCCCCUUGUCUCAGGUGGGGACAACUCUGAGAUGUCAGUUGCCUUGAGCAGCAGUGUCCAAAAUAUAAAGCAACCUACAUAUGUGACUUUACAUUUUCUAGUAGCCACAUUAAAAUUCAUUUUAAUAAGGGGCUAGGCAUGGCAUUCAUGCUUGUAAUCCCAACACUUUGGGAAGUCGAGGUGGGAGGAUCACUUGAGCUGAGGAGUUUCAGACCACUGUGGGCAACAUAGGGAGACCCAUGUCUAUACAAAUAAUGUUUUAAAAAAUUAGCCAGAUGUGAUGGUGCACACCUGUGGUCCCAGCUACUCAGGAGGUUGAGGCAGGAGUAUCUCCUGAGUCUGGGAAGUCAAAGCUAUAGUGAGUUAUGAUUGUGCCACUGCACUCCAUCCUGGGUGGCAGAGUGAGACCCUGUCUCAAAAAAAUUUUUUUUAAUUAAAAUCAUUCUAACAGUGUAUUUAUAUCAUUCAACAUGUAAUCAGUGUGAAAAACUAUUAAUGAGAUGUUUUGAAUUCAUUUUUAUUUGUACUAAGUCUUCAAAACCCAGUGUGUAACACACUUCACUUGGGAUGUCCCUAUUUCAGUUGCUCAGUAGUGGCUAGUGGCUACCCAGUCGGACAGCUCAGCGUCAGUCACAUGGAAGCUGUUCCUCCGCAGGGCUCUGCCUGAAACUGAAGUCUCACUGGGUUUCUUCUCGUUCCCUGUCCUGCUUCCUCCACUCCCUCAUCGGUAUCUUGAGAGCACUGCUUAAUAAAUCUUUUGCAUACAAGUAUUAUCUUUGUAAUUAAAAUAAAUCUGGGAGGUUCAAAAGAAAAAAAAAAGAAAA
rnacentral:lncRNA from 10 species